UUUUUCAGACAACACUAGCAUGGGCAUGCAGACUUACUGGAAGGAUAUGCACUGAGCAUCAAGGGAAGAGCAUUAGAAAGGGGUAGGGUUGAAGGAGCUUUUGGUCUAUUCUGCAUCUGCAGAGAUACUGUGUGCACAUUAUCAAAAUAAACUUAGCUCAUCAAAACGCAGUUUUCAAAAGGCUUCCUAAAACUGAUGCAUCUACCUUUUGAAGGGAGCUCCAAGGGGAAGGACACUACAAUCAGAGACCAAGUUUCAGUGCUAUGAACCUGCAUCCAUGAAAUACUUUGGAUAUUACCAUGCAUUGACACCUGAUGAGGUCAAGGAGCGGGUAGCACUGGCAAGGAAGGCACAAAAAACAUCGGCAAAGAUCAAGCAAAGACGCAUGUUUCUUCGGAAUACUCUC